GUACCAUAACCGACACAGGUGGGUAAGUAGAGUAUACUAAGGGGCGCGAGAUAACUCUCUCUAAGGAACUCGGCAAAAUAACUCCGUAACUUCGGGAGAAGGAGUGCCAUAUUCUUAAGGUUGCAAUAACAAGAUCCAAGCAACUGUUUAUCAAAAACACAGGUCUCCGCUAAGUCGUAAGACGAUGUAUGGGGGCUGACGCCUGCCCAGUGCCAGAAGGUUAAAGAAGUCGGUUAGCAAUAGCAAAGCUGGUAACUGAAGCCCUGGUGAACGGCGGCCGUAACGAUAACGGUCCUAAGGUAGCGAAAUUCCUUGUCGGGUAAGUUCCGACCCGCACGAAAGGCGUAAUGAUUUGGAUGCUGUCUCGGAGAGGGGCUCGGUGAAAUAGACUUGUCUGUGAAGAUGCGGACUACCUGCACCAGGACAGAAAGACCCUAUGAAGCUUUACUGUAACUUGAAAUUGAAAUUGGACUUUAUUCGCGCAGUAUAGGUGGGAGGCGUUGAUUAUAAUCUUGUGGGAUUAUUGGAGCCAUCAGUGAGAUACCACUCUUGUAAUGUUAGAUUUCUAACUUUGAAUCAUUAUCUGGUCAAAGGACAGUUUCAGGCGGGCAGUUUGACUGGGGCGGUCGCCUCCUAAACGGUAACGGAGGCGUACAAAGGUUUCCUCUGAACGGUUAGAAAUCGUAUCUAGAGUGUAAAGGCAUAAGGAAGCUUGACUGUGAGACCUACAAGUCGAGCAGGGACGAAAGUCGGUCUUAGUGAUCUGACGGUACUGAGUGGAAAGGCCGUCACUCAACGGAUAAAAGUUACUCUAGGAUAACAGGCUGAUCUCCCCCAAGAGUUCACAUCGACGGGGAGGUUUGGCACCUCGAUGUCGGCUCAUCGCAUCCUGGGGCGGUAGUACGUCCCAAGGGUUGGGCUGUUCGCCCAUGAAAGCGGUACGCGAGCUGGGUUCAGAACGUCGUGAGACAGUUCGGUCCAUAUCCGGUGUAGGCGCUAGAAUAUUGAGAGGAGCCUUCUUUAGUACGAGAGGACCGAGAAGGACAUACCUCUGGUGUACCAGUUAUCGUGCCAACGGUAAACGCUGGGUAGCUAUGUAUGGAGUGGAUAACCGCUGAAAGCAUCUAAGUGGGAAGCCCACCUCAAGAUAAGUAUUCUCAUCACGUAAGUGAGUAAGGUCACGGUAAGACUAACCGUUUGAUAGGCAUUAAGUGUAAGUACAGUAAUGUAUGUGCUGAGAUGUCCUAAUAGACCGAGGACUUG
rnacentral:rRNA from 1 species